rnacentral:rRNA from 1 species
CUCCAAGGUGAAGAGUCUCUAGUCGAUAGAAUAAUGUAGGUAAGGGAAGUCGGCAAAUUAGAUCCGUAACUUCGGGAUAAGGAUUGGCUCUGAAGAUUGAGAUAGUCGGGCUUGAUUGGGAAGCAAUAAUAUGGUUUAUGUACUCGUUCUGGAUAAAUAGAGAUUUUCGGAUCUUGUUCCCCGGAUAGUAGCUACGUAGCCAAUUGUGGAACUUUCUUGCUAAAAUUUUUAAGGAGUUAUCGAAAGAUAUAUUCCUUUUAAAUUAUAACGAUUAUCAAUUAACAAUCAAUUCAGAACUGGCACGGACUUGGGGAAUCCGACUGUCUAAUUAAAACAAAGCAUUGUGAUGGCCCUAGCGGGUGUUGACACAAUGUGAUUUCUGCCCAGUGCUCUGAAUGUCAAUGUGAAGAAAUUCAAUUAAGCGCGGGUCAACGGCGGGAGUAACUAUGACUCUCUUAAGGUAGCCAAAUGCCUCGUCAUCUAAUUAGUGACGCGCAUGAAUGGAUUAACGAGAUUCCUUCUGUCCCUAUCUACGAUCUAGCGAAACCACAGCCAAGGGAACGGGCUUGGAAUAAUUAGCGGGGAAAGAAGACCCUUUUGAGCUUGACUCUAAUCUGGCAGUGUAAGGAGACAUAAGAGGUGUAGAAUAAGUGGGAGAUAUUGAAUUUCGGUUCUUUGUCGCCAAUGAAAUACCACUACUCUUAUUGUUUCCUUACUUACUUGAUUAAGUGGAACGUGUAUCAUUUCCUAGCCAUUAUACGGAUAUAUUUAUAUAUCUUAUGGUAUUGGGUCUUGAUGCAAGCUUCUUGAUCAAAGUAUCACAAGUUUGUUAUAUAAUUGUAAACAUAUUUUAAUGAAAUGAUAGCAUUUCGGUGUUAUUGUUAUAAUUGAAAUAUGGUAUAACUUCAAUACUUAGGUAUGAUCCAAUUCAAGGACAUUGCUAGGUGCGAAGUUUGACUGGGGCGGUACAUCUCUCAAAUAAUAACGGAGGUGUCCCAAGGCCAGCUCAGUGCGGACAGAAACCACACAUAGAGCAAAAGGGCAAAUGCUGACUUGAUCUCGGUGUUCAGUACACACAGGGACAGCUAAAGCUCGGCCUAUCGAUCCUUUUGGUUUAAAGAGUUUUUAACAAGAGGUGUCAGAAAAGUUACCAGAGGGAUAACUGGCUUGUGGCGGCCAAGCGUUCAUAGCGACGUCGCUUUUUGAUCCUUCGAUGUCGGCUCUUCCUAUCAUUGUGAAGCAAAAUUCACCAAGCGUUGGAUUGUUCACCCAUGCAAGGGAACGUGAGCUGGGUUUAGACCGUCGUGAGACAGGUUAGUUUUACCCUACUAAUGACAAAAUUGUUGUUGCGACAGCAUUCCUGCGUAGUACGAGAGGAACCGCAGGUACGGACCAAUGGCACAAUACUUGUUCGAGAGAACAGUGGUAUGACGCUACGUCCGUUGGAUUAUGCCUGAACGCCUCUAAGGUCGUAUCCGUGCUGGACUGCAAUGAUAAAAAUGGGGCAAUUGCAUUGUAUGGCUUCUAAACCAUUUUAAAGUUUAUAAUUUUUUUUAUAAACGACACUAUGGACGUGAUGCCAAUGUUACCGAUAGCAUAGCAAGUUUGGGAGGAGAAUAUCACCCGGGCGACGCGCUAGUUAUACGGUUAAAACAUUAUUUAAUACAAUGACAAUGCCUAGAAUCAAUUGUAAACGACUUUUGUAACGGGCAAGGUGUUGUAAGUGGUAGAGCAGCUGC